rfam:Schistosoma haematobium scaffold1901_4, whole genome shotgun sequence.
AUCCAGCUGACGAGUCCUAAAUAGCACGAAACGUAUAUCCUGGAU